rnacentral:rRNA from 1 species
UACGUAGGGGUGCAAGCCGUUGUCCGGAAUUGUUGGGCGUAAGAGCUCGUAGGCGGUCUGUCGCGUCUGCUGUGAAAACCCGGGCGUUAACCCCGGCUUGCCAGUGGAUGACGGGCAGGCUGGAGGCAGGCAGGGGAGAACGGAAGUCCGGUGUAGCGGUGAAUGCGCAGAUAUCGGGAGGAACACCGGUGGCGAAGGCGGUCUCUGGGCCUGUACUGACGCUGAGGAGCGAAGCGUGGGGAGCGAA